GUUGUUCGGAAUUACUGGGCGUAAAGGGCUCGUAGGCGGCCAACUAAGUCGGACGUGAAAUCCCUCGGCUUAACCGGGGAACUGCUUCCGAUACUGGAUGGCUUGAGUGUGGGAGAGGGAUGCGGAAUUCCAGGUGUAGCGGUGAAAUGCGUAGAUAUCUGGAGGAACACCGGUGGCGAAGGCGGCAUCCUGGACAGUGACUGACGCUGAGACGCGAAAGCGUGGGGAGCAAACAGG
rnacentral:rRNA from 1 species